CAUGCCCUGCUGGACCACAACCAAGGCCACCCUGGGCCUUCCACUGGGCUCCAUCCUUGAAAAGCUGCCUAAUGGAGGGAGGUCAGAAAGAUCUGCAUUUACAAUGUGCUAGAACUAUUUUGGGUCAGUUCAGAUUACCCCUCA